rnacentral:ncRNA from 1 species
CGUAGCCGACCUGAGAGGGUGAUCGGCCACACUGGGACUGAGACACGGCCCAGACUCCUACGGGAGGCAGCAGUAGGGAAUCUUCCGCAAUGGACGCAAGUCUGACGGAGCAACGCCGCGUGAGUGAUGAAGGUAACCUGCAUCUUCACAGGUAUUAAAAUUUCACCGGAUCUCUCGUUGAGACAGCGCCCAAGUCGUUACGCCAUUCGUGCGGGUCAGAAUUUACCUGACGUAACUGCCCUUAAGGUGACGGUACCUGAGAAGAAAGCCCCGGCUAACUACGUGCCAGCAGCCGCGGUAAUACGUAGGGGGCAAGCGUUGUCCGGAAUUAUUGGGCGUAAAGCGCGCGCAGGCGGUGAUUUAAGUUUGGUGUUUAAUCCAUAACUUUGCUGUUUUUCUCGAUUCGAGCGUAGCAUCACGACACCACCCGUUUCUUAGAGUUACCCACAUUAUACCAUAUUAAUGCGGUGUCGCGUUAAAUAAAUUGUACAUAAAAAAGGGUUGUCGAGAGUUUCUCGACAGCCUGAAGGCUGCCAGAGGCAGCCUUGCGCGCGUUGUUAGAUCCUCG